ACAUUGGUUCCUUAAAGCAAGAAAUUUCUAAGAUGGCAGCAAAUUGCCAAACUUUGGGAGGGAUUGGUUUGGAUUGUGCUGGCUGAAUGAGAAAGGGGCCCUUGUUCUUGUUAUCUUCCCUCCAGAUGCUGAACAUCCUAGGCACCAUUUUUAUCUGGAUGCUGACAAUCCAGGCAAGGUCUGUGAGAGGUUUCCUGCUGGAAGGCAUCUCCGUUCUUGCUGGGUUCCACCUAGAGGCAAUGAUCAUCAGCCUCCUUAGAAAGCCUCUGCCAAUGGACAGUGACACCUCUGAGUUCUGGAGGGCCUUGAGGGGGGAAUGAUUUCUUCACCCUCUACAUACUACAUUGGCUCAUGAGCAAGAUUCAACAUCCAGCUGGCACAGACAGGAGCUCAGCUGAGGACAUCAUGGCCCUUGGGCCUCUAGCAGCAAGUGACAGCCCAGACCCAGUUCUGUCAGUUCCCCUUGAGGGCUAGAAUCCUGGUUCUCAAGAGCUUGAGGCAACAUGUGCAUCUUUGGAGAUGCUCACCACCAUUCACUCCAGCCCAGUGCUAAGGGAGCUUCUCCCAGAGAUUCUCUGCUCUUCUGGAGCAAGUUCGCUGCACUGUAGGGCAGUACAUGCCAAUGCCCACAGGCAGCAUCCGGAGGAGGCAGCUGCAGAAGGAGCAACUGUGAGCAGUGGGCAACCCUUGCAGGCUUUCUAUGGAGACCCUGGCCUGUGCCAUAUCUAAGGGCCUUGGGGAGGGAGUGGCUUCAGCCCUCUGCCAAGAGGGAACUUGGACACUCCUUUAGAGCCCCCAGAUGUACCAUGAGAGGGUGUGCCAACUGGCCAGGUAAGAGAGGCAGGCUGGAUUACAUCUGUGCUCUAGGCAGUGGGAUGAGUGGUAGAGGGGGAACUUUCUGUGCUGAACCUGCAGGGUUGUGUGGGGCUGGAGACAUGGAGCUUGUGCUCCAAGAAAUGAGAGUUGCCGCCUCAGAGCAACUGAGUGUUGGCAGUGCCCAGCUGGUCUCAGAACUAGUGGUUUUCUCUUGCAGGGCUUUGCUCCCAUUGGGCAUUAUAAUGUCCAAAUUCUCGGGACAGGUCCUGCAGUGAGUAAGUUCCACAACUGAAAAGCUGCACGUUACUGGUACAGCGGCUGUUUGUUGUGCUUGUUCCCUGGGGAGUCCCCUGGUCUUCUUCCUAGGAGGGAGGAUCACUGGAGGCAGUUGAGAGGUUUCUCUUCUGUCCUUGUCCUUGCA